GGGCCGGUGGCUCAGCCAGGUAGAGCACCCGGCUGAUAACCGGGGGGUCCCGGGUUCAAAUCCCGGCCGGCCCACCA
rnacentral:tRNA from 1 species